rnacentral:rRNA from 1 species
GUAGGGAAUAUUGGGCAAUGGUCGGAAGACUGACCCAGCCAUGCCGCGUGCAGGAAGACGGCCCUCUGGGUUGUAAACUGCUUUUAUCUGGGAAGAAAAAGGCCAUGCGUGGCAAAUUGCCGGUACCAGAUGAAUAAGCACCGGCUAACUCCGUGCCAGCAGCCGCGGUAAUACGGAGGGUGCGAGCGUUGUCCGGAUUUAUUGGGUUUAAAGGGUGCGUAGGCGGCUGAUUAAGUCAGCGGUGAAAGACUUCGGCUUAACCGGAGCAGUGCCGUUGAUACUGGUUGGCUGGAGUGUCGGAGGGGUACAUGGAAUUGAUGGUGUAGCGGUGAAAUGCAUAGAUACCAUCAGGAACACCGAUAGCGAAGGCAUUGUACUGGCCGACAACUGACGCUGAUGCACGAAAGUGUGGGGAUCGAACAGGAUUAGAUACCCGAGUAGUCC